UAUAUAGGAGUUGUAGAAGUUUGUUGGAGUGCCAGAGUGUGAUAGUCAUGAGUUGAGGUAAGCUUGGUGCUACCUCCUUACCUCUUUGUUUCUUUGUUUUUUUUGUUGUUGAAGAGUAAUGGAUAGUUUUUGAAUAUUGAGAAGUGAGUCUAUGGAAUAAAUCAGAGAUUGAUUCAUGAGUUAUUGAUUAUGUAAUUGGAAUACUGAGUGAUUGAAUUAUGAGGAGUUAUUGGAAGAUUAUGAUUGUUGUUUUUUGAGAGUUGUGUGUAUUUUGGACA
rnacentral:lncRNA from 1 species